rnacentral:rRNA from 1 species
AGCUCCAAGAGCAUAUAUUAAAGUUGUUGCAGUUAAAAAGCUCGUAGUUGGAUUUCUGGUUUAAUGCACCUGGCCCGCGGCCACUAGGCUUGUGAGUGCCGGCGCGCGUUUACCAUCCUUCUAGAAAACGGUUCUGCCAUUCACUUGGUUGGGAUCGCGAUCUAGAUCUUUUACUUUGAAAAAAUUAGAGUGUUUAAAGCAGGCUUUUGCUAUGAAUACAUUAGCAUGGAAUAAUAAUCUAGGACUUCGGUUCUAUUUUGUUGGUUUCUAUAACUGAAGUAAUGAUUGAUAGGGAUAGUUGGGGGUGCUAGUAUUGGCCGGCCAGAGGUGAAAUUCUUGGAUUCGGUCAAGACUAACUUAUGCGAAAGCAUUCACCAAGGAUGUCUUCU